rnacentral:lncRNA from 1 species
UGGUGAAUUAAGAAGAAAAAUGAUGGAAGAAAAAGGGAUCAAUAGCAUUAAAGUUAAAGUUUGGUAAUCAUUAAGUAAAGAAUAAAUGACAUGUUGAUGGAUCCUUUGGUUUAAGUUGGGAUGGGUGAUAAUUUUGAAGCAUAAAAUAAUGGUUUAAAGUAAAUUUUAGAACCCCAGGGGACUAAGUCGACUAAGUGUCAAGAA